UUUUGUUUUUGAGGCCCAGGCCCAGGGCCGGCCGUGUAUAUAUAUAUGAUGAAGCAUGGUGCACAAUUUGUUUAUCAAUCAUCAAUCAAUCUCGCCGCAAAUUGUGAGAUAUGAAGCUACAGAGAGUAAAUUAUGAUGCAGAUGAAAAAGAAGACAGGUUAAGCGAUUUACCCGAUUGUAUUAUUGUUCAUCAUAUAUUCUCUUUUUUGAAUGCAAAACAAGUUGUUCAGACUUCAGUUUUGUCCACAAGAUGGCACCAUCUCUGGAAGUAUCUACCGACACUUUCACUAGUUUCUUCACACUUUGACAAUUUUGAUAAUUUUAUCAGAUUUGUCAUUAAUUUUUUCUUUUUUCUAUUUCGCGACGGCGAUUCAUCCAUCUCGCUGCACAAACUCGAUUUUCACUACAGGGAUGGCGUGACUCCUUUCCGCUUCCGCCACCACGCCGGGGAUGGCGUGAGUCCUGACCUCUUAAAUAGCAUGUUAACUUAUGCUGUUUCACGCAGUGUUAAGGAAUUGAAAAUCUGUAUGAGAUCUGAUAUUCAACUAUUUCCGUCUUGUAUCUCUUCAUGUCACAGUUUAACACAUCUGAACUUUUUUGUUCCCCAAAGAAACCCUAAAAAUCCUAAUGGAAAAGUAUUAUUUCCGAAUUCUCUAAAUUUGCCAUCAUUGAUCCACUUGCAUAUAGGGCGUGUGGCCUUUCAUGGCGGAGUUGAUAUUUUUUCUGGUUUUCCCCGGUUGAAUAGAAUGAUGAUUACUCACUUUGAAAUUUUGGGUGAACAAAACUUAUGCAUAUCAAGUACCAGCCUUGUUGUACUAGCCAUGGAAGAAAUUUUUUUUCCUCAUCAUUGGAAAAUUCAGCUGUCUACUCCAAAUCUUUCUACUUUCAGUUUUAUAGGAACUCCUUCUCAGAUAAUGUGUGCGAGCCGUCUCAGUUCUCUUAAAUACGUCCAGAUUUGCCCGGAAAAAAUGAAUUAUGUAAAAGCUCCUUCUCUUCUACUCAGCUUGUUGCAUGAACUUGCUGCUGAUAUUCAAUCGUUGAGGCUCUGUUCCAAUACUCUUCAAGUUCUCUCUUUACUUCCUGAUGUAUCUAAGAUUAAACUCAAUUCCUUGUAUAAGUUGGAGUCAUUGAGGAUAAGAGUGAAAGAAAUUUCCAAGACAUUGUUCGAGCCUGCCGGAUCACAAGAAGAAGAAGAAGAAGUUGCCAAGUUAAUAGAAGCAUUCAAAAAAGGAAAAAAGCAAAUAAAAGAUGGAAAGAGGCAGAAGAGCGAGGGCUCGUGUUGUGGUUUUGAGUGACUUUGGACGCAGCCCUAAAAGGCAGUAUCAUGCUCUCCCACUUGCCAAUCAGGCUUUGCUAGAGGUAGACAUUGUUGCAUAUGGAGGCCCAGAGCCCCAUACUGAACUUCUGGCCAACCCAUCUAUUCAUAUUCACCUCAUGGUAUGUGUUGGAGUUAAUCUUUUGAGGACGAAUUUUCAUAUGGAAUGUGUUGGAGUUAAUCUUUUGGGGACGAAUUUUUCAAAAAGUUGAUGUAAUUUUGGUUGAAAAUUUCUCAAAUUUUCAGAAGCAGUGGUCAACAGCCCGUCAAAGCUUACCAAAGGAACAUGGUGGACGGACGCAGGACUCGUGGUCGACCCCACACUCAGCCUCCACAAACGAAUUCACCGACUGGCGGUGAGAAUGUUCCAUGGCCCCAAUUUAUACAACAGAUGCAACAGCAGCAGAAUCAGUUCAUGCUGCAGAUGAUGCAACAGAUGAAUGGUGGUCAUAAUGUUCCAGUAGUUGUGCCCGAAGCCACAGGUGGGACUUAUAGGGAUUUCGUCCGCAUGAAUGUUGAUGCGGGCAUAGGGCAAGCAACAAACAAGAUUUGGAAAUAUUGAUCCAGGAAUUAUCGUCCUCAGAGAUGGAGAGAUGCCAUUCAACAGUUUCUAUGGUUUUGAGCUCGGGUUUGAAUGAACGAAAAGUAAACAAAGAUAUUGACAGGAAAAAAUUAACACAUUCUUAGAAGAGAAAUAACUUAUAAGGUAUGCCCAUAUAUUCACUCUUCACAAAUAUACACUUACCAACCCAUUAUACUCAACAUACGAUACUCGUCUAUGUUAUCACGUAUCUCUCACAUAAGCGUCCAUCUCUGGAGCACCUACGAGAUCAUCUCACAACUAUGGUUAUCUCUAACGCAAAGUCGCGAGAACAUCCGUAUUCUCGCGUCGGUGAUAUCUCGCGCGCCGCUCAAACACGAAAGCAUUAAGAACAUAUACAAAUGGUGAAUGCUAGCACUAAAUCUAUCUCUAGAGUUCAGAACCAACAAAUUAUCAUCCUAGAUAAGGAUUCAAGAAAUUUAUCUCUAAAGAAACCAAAAUCCCCAGCAUAGAGCAAAAAUCCAGGAUAACAUCAACACAAAUAUGUAAAGUAAGUUAAAUAUAACAUUAUAAUCAUUAAAUAUAUAUAAGAUUCGAGUAACUAUACAAACAAACCCAACACAGAGAAAUACACAGAGAAUAGAAGAGAUAAAUCAAACAUCUCGCGGGUUGUCAGCUCCAGUUGAUGAGAAAUCCACCUCCGAUCUUCCAAGUGCAUGACUUAGUGUUGUUUUCUAAGCUAAUCUUACUCUAAGAAUGAAGUUGAUGGUGUUGGGACUAAAAAAAUACCCAAACCAUAACCUAAAAAUGUGAUUUUCCCCUUUUUAACAAGUAUGCUAAAAAUCAGAUUUUGUUUUCGCCAUAACUCGAGAACCGUAACUCCGAUUUGCGCCCGGUUCGAAGCGUUGGAAAGCUUACUCAAUGCUCUAUCCAAUAAUUAAUUAAUGGAAACCAUAAUGAUGAUUUUGUUCAUCCUUAUUUUGAGCCUAUGGAAGUCCGCUUGACGGUGGCUAAGCGGGCUUGCACCAAAACUGCGAAAUUGAAGCCGUGUCUUUGACACUUUAUUCCUCAAGGCUCCAAUAAGCAUAAAUACUUAUAAAAACAAAGGAAAAACUAUUAAAUGGUAUAAAAGUAUAUGAAAAUACAACUAUACACAAAGUAUACGAUCUAUACAUAAAACGAGGAAUUAUUCAAACGGUAUUAACAAAAGUAUCGAUAAGUGCCACUAUUUACAUACACAAAAUAAGUACAUUUUGACACUUAUCAAACUCUCCCCAACUUAAAACUUUGUUUAUCCUAAAACAAUAUCAAAUAAAUCAAAGAAUUGAAAGUAAUAAACCAAAGAAUUGUGAAUCAACACGUUUAGAAAAACCAAAAACAAAUGUAUGGUUCAACACAAAAACGUAUAAACAAAGUAAGUACUUACCACUAUCCUACAACGACAACAUGUAAACGAAACGAAUCCUAAGCACAAAAAGCAUACAAAAUAUUAUAACACAAUACAUGCUCACAUCAUGAAUCACACCUAGCAAAAAUUCAUCAAUGGAUGAAGAACACACAAAGGUGAAGGACUUUUAACACUAAGUUGUUUGUUGAAGGUCUGUUGUUGUGUCGGCAAUGUACUUGGGGUUGGCGCGAAGAACUGGGUUUCGGUAGUUUUUCAUCUGUUUGAGGUGAAAAUCUACAAAGAACUUAAUGUUUGAAGGAUGUACCAGAGUUAAAGUUUUGUGGAACAUUCUGCUAUUCUAGGUAUGGGUAGUUUAGUAGUGUGGAGUUGAUUUGUUGAUUGGGUGAGGCUACUGUUAUAUACAGAUUCACAUGUUUAGAUUAUUCAAUUGGUCUUUGAAGUAAACUAUCGACAAGAUCUAGGCUGUGGGUAGCAAAUGUCAUGGCAAUUUUACAUAAAACAUUGUCAUGUUUGAAUUGUGUUCAUGAUUAGGAUAUUUGUUCAGGAAUCUUUAAUUGUUAUCCUGUUAGCAAAAUCUUUAAUUGGUAUCCUGUUAGCAGGCUGCUAUAACAAUUGUAUUUGGCAUGGCUCAUGCCCUUUAUUUCCAUUUUUAAUAAAAGACUUUUUGCUGUUUCAAA